rnacentral:rRNA from 1 species
UUAAGCGACUAAGCGUACACGGUGGAUGCCCUGGCAGUCAGAGGCGAUGAAGGGCGUGCUAAUCUGCGAUAAGCGCCGGUAAGGUGAUAUGAACCGUUAUAACCGGCGAUACCCGAAUGGGGAAACCCAGUGUGACUCGUCACACUAUCAUUAACUGAAUCCAUAGGUUAAUGAGGCGAACCGGGGGAACUGAAACAUCUAAGUACCCCGAGGAAAAGAAAUCAACCGAGAUUCCCCCAGUAGCGGCGAGCGAACGGGGAGGAGCCCAGAGCCUGAAUCAGCAUGUGUGUUAGUGGAAGCGUCUGGAAAGGCGCGCGAUACAGGGUGACAGCCCCGUACACAAAAGCGCAUGUGCUGUGAGCUCGAUGAGUAGGGCGGGACACGUGGUAUCCUGUCUGAAUAUGGGGGGACCAUCCUCCAAGGCUAAAUACUCCUGACUGACCGAUAGUGAACCAGUACCGUGAGGGAAAGGCGAAAAGAACCCCGGCGAGGGGAGUGAAAAAGAACCUGAAACCGUGUACGUACAAGCAGUGGGAGCCCCACCACCAAAGCAUUCUCUGGUGUUGAAGGCCCUGCAAAGCAGCAUCGCGGUGGCGGAGCGUCGUUUGCGACGCCCAACACACAAAACAAGCGGUGAAUGCUUUGGGGUGGGGUGACUGCGUACCUUUUGUAUAAUGGGUCAGCGACUUAUAUUCUGUAGCAAGGUUAACCGAAUAGGGGAGCCGGAGGGAAACCGAGUCUUAAUUGGGCGUUAAGUUGCAGGGUAUAGACCCGAAACCCGGUGAUCUAGCCAUGGGCAGGUUGAAGGUUGGGUAACACUAACUGGAGGACCGAACCGACUAAUGUUGAAAAAUUAGCGGAUGACCUGUGGCUGGGGGUGAAAGGCCAAUCAAACCGGGAGAUAGCUGGUUCUCCCCGAAAGCUAUUUAGGUAGCGCCUCGUGAAUUCAUCUCCGGGGGUAGAGCACUGUUUCGGCUAGGGGGCCAUCCCGGCUUACCAACCCGAUGCAAACUGCGAAUACCGGAGAAUGUUAUCACGGGAGACACACGGCGGGUGCUAACGUCCGUCGUGAAGAGGGAAACAACCCAGACCGCCAGCUAAGGUCCCAAAGUCAUGGUUAAGUGGGAAACGAUGUGGGAAGGCCCAGACAGCCAGGAUGUUGGCUUAGAAGCAGCCAUCAUUUAAAGAAAGCGUAAUAGCUCACUGGUCGAGUCGGCCUGCGCGGAAGAUGUAACGGGGCUAAACCAUGCACCGAAGCUGCGGCAGCGACGCUGAUGCGUUGUUGGGUAGGGGAGCGUUCUGUAAGCCUGUGAAGGUGUGUCGUGAGGCAUGCUGGAGGUAUCAGAAGUGCGAAUGCUGACAUAAGUAACGAUAAAGCGGGUGAAAAGCCCGCUCGCCGGAAGACCAAGGGUUCCUGUCCAACGUUAAUCGGGGCAGGGUGAGUCGACCCCUAAGGCGAGGCCGAAAGGCGUAGUCGAUGGGAAACGGGUUAAUAUUCCCGUACUUGGUGUUACUGCGAAGGGGGGACGGAGAAGGCUAUGUUGGCCGGGCGACGGUUGUCCCGGUUUAAGCGUGUAGGUGUGUGUUCCAGGUAAAUCCGGUUCACUUUAACACUGAGGCGUGACGACGAGGCACUACGGUGCUGAAGCAACAAAUGCCCUGCUUCCAGGAAAAGCCUCUAAGCAUCAGGUAACACGAAAUCGUACCCCAAACCGACACAGGUGGUCAGGUAGAGAAUACCAAGGCGCUUGAGAGAACUCGGGUGAAGGAACUAGGCAAAAUGGUGCCGUAACUUCGGGAGAAGGCACGCUGACACGUAGGUGAAGUGAUUUACUCAUGGAGCUGAAGUCAGUCGAAGAUACCAGCUGGCUGCAACUGUUUAUUAAAAACACAGCACUGUGCAAACACGAAAGUGGACGUAUACGGUGUGACGCCUGCCCGGUGCCGGAAGGUUAAUUGAUGGGGUCAGCGCAAGCGAAGCUCCUGAUCGAAGCCCCGGUAAACGGCGGCCGUAACUAUAACGGUCCUAAGGUAGCGAAAUUCCUUGUCGGGUAAGUUCCGACCUGCACGAAUGGCGUAAUGAUGGCCAGGCUGUCUCCACCCGAGACUCAGUGAAAUUGAACUCGCUGUGAAGAUGCAGUGUACCCGCGGCAAGACGGAAAGACCCCGUGAACCUUUACUAUAGCUUGACACUGAACAUUGAGCCUUGAUGUGUAGGAUAGGUGGGAGGCUUUGAAGUGUGGACGCCAGUCUGCAUGGAGCCGACCUUGAAAUACCACCCUUUAAUGUUUGAUGUUCUAACGUGGACCCGUAAUCCGGGUUGCGGACAGUGUCUGGUGGGUAGUUUGACUGGGGCGGUCUCCUCCUAAAGAGUAACGGAGGAGCACGAAGGUUGGCUAAUCCUGGUCGGACAUCAGGAGGUUAGUGCAAUGGCAUAAGCCAGCUUGACUGCGAGCGUGACGGCGCGAGCAGGUGCGAAAGCAGGUCAUAGUGAUCCGGUGGUUCUGAAUGGAAGGGCCAUCGCUCAACGGAUAAAAGGUACUCCGGGGAUAACAGGCUGAUACCGCCCAAGAGUUCAUAUCGACGGCGGUGUUUGGCACCUCGAUGUCGGCUCAUCACAUCCUGGGGCUGAAGUAGGUCCCAAGGGUAUGGCUGUUCGCCAUUUAAAGUGGUACGCGAGCUGGGUUUAGAACGUCGUGAGACAGUUCGGUCCCUAUCUGCCGUGGGCGCUGGAGAACUGAGGGGGGCUGCUCCUAGUACGAGAGGACCGGAGUGGACGCAUCACUGGUGUUCGGGUUGUCAUGCCAAUGGCACUGCCCGGUAGCUAAAUGCGGAAGAGAUAAGUGCUGAAAGCAUCUAAGCACGAAACUUGCCCCGAGAUGAGUUCUCCCUGAGACUUAGAGUCUCCUGAAGGAACGUUGAAGACGACGACGUUGAUAGGCCGGGUGUGUAAGCGCAGCGAUGCGUUGAGCUAACCGGUACUAAUGAACCGUGAGGCUUAACCUU